rnacentral:tRNA from 1 species
CGCUGGGAAGCUAAACAUUGGACAAAGCGUUGGCUUUUUAAGCCAAAGAUGGGGGAUUCCCGACCCCCUCUAGGA